GAUGAACGCUGGCGGCGUGCCUAAUACAUGCAAGUCGAACGAACAGAUGAGGCGGUUUCUUCUUUUGCUUUAGCGGCGGAGGGGUGAGUAAAACGUGGAGAAAAUACCUUUAUGACUGGGAUUACUUCGUGAAACCGGUGCCUAUUCCCGCUUAACUUUUGAACAGCAUGGUUCAAUAGCUAAAGGCGUCUUUGCUUUCGCUUAUCGCUGAUUCCGCGUGGUAUUAGCUAGUUGGACGGGUAACGGCUUACCAAGGCAACGAUACGUAGCCGACCUGAGAGGAUGAUCAGCCACACUGGAACUGAGACACGGUCCAGACUCCUACGGGAGGCAGCAGUAGGGAAUAUUGCACAAAGGGCGAAAGCCUGACGGAGCAACGCCGCGUGAAUGAAGAAGGUCUUCGGAUCGUAAAGCACUGUUAGCAGGGAAGAAGAGAGGAAUAAGAAAAUGUGCACAUAUUGACGGUACCUGAACAGAAAGCCACGGCUAACUACGUG
rnacentral:rRNA from 1 species